rnacentral:rRNA from 1 species
GUGGGGAAUAUUGGACAAUGGGCGCAAGCCUGAUCCAGCCAUGCCGCGUGAGUGAUGAAGGCCCUAGGGUUGUAAAGCUCUUUCACCGGUGAAGAUAAUGACGGUAACCGGAGAAGAAGCCCCGGCUAACUUCGUGCCAGCAGCCGCGGUAAUACGAAGGGGGCUAGCGUUGUUCGGAAUUACUGGGCGUAAAGUGCACGUAGGCGGGUAUUUAAGUCAGGGGUGAAAUCCCGGAGCUCAACUCCGGAACUGCCUUUGAUACUGGGUACCUAGAGUAUGGAAGAGGUAAGUGGAAUUCCGAGUGUAGAGGUGAAAUUCGUAGAUAUUCGGAGGAACACCAGUGGCGAAGGCGGCUUACUGGUCCAUUACUGACGCUGAGGUGCGAAAGCGUGGGGAGCAAACAGGAUUAGAAACCCCUGUAGUCC